UGAAAUGAUCAGGCCAGGGCUCUGGUCUUUAUCUUAGGAAACCUGAAGACAGCAACGAGACAGAGCAGAGGCAAGGACCAAGUGCUGUAAGAUCAGUAAGUUCUCAAAUCAACAUACAGAACAACUCCAAGUGCAGGAUGGCAUGUGUCCUGUGACCGCUGGUGUUCAGGCCGAUGGAGAAACCAGAAGCAGCCAAAAGCUCGCUGUGAAAGGAAAGCUACUGGCAUGGACUAAUCUGUUUUGAGGGCGGCAACGGCCCUUGAUCAACUGCCUCAUAUUUCAAGCCUGUUACUCCAGGCAGACAACGGCUACUGUUUUGGGGACUCAGUGGAGAACGAAGACAGUCCUUGCUUCCAGGAGUAGGAGCUAGUGGGGGACCCGUGGCCUGUGUCCAGGCCAACUGCUGGAUUAUCUGCCAAAUCUGGACUUGCAAACAGCUGUCCCCAGGUCCCAGCCUGGAAGCCUGCAGGGCCAUUCCCAGGGUGUCAUCCAAGUUCACCUCAGUCAUGGGUAGCUGGUGUCAUGCCCUCUUGGAUGCCCCGGAGCACACAACAGGAUGUGACUCAGGCCUCAAGAGAUGUGAGUCAGUUUCCAGGGCGAUGUGUCAGGGCGAGCCCCAGGGGUGGCUGGCAGCUCCCGCCUGGGACCCCUGGGAGGGAUGGUCUGGGCUCCCUGCAAACACAAGAGCAACCCCCCCCCCCCCCCCGCCUGCCAUGCCUCACUGCCACCUUCACACUCAUGUAACAACAAACAGCCUUCGCGGCCCAGGCGUUAGGUCAUUCCCUGCUCUGAGAGAGGCACGUCCCUGAAAGUCCCCCUUGCUUCCGCAGCACCCUUUCCCCUCUGUCCUCUGCAGUAAAAGUGCAACGGGGCACAGAAGCAGGGCGGGCCGGCCCCUGGGGGUGCACCCGGGGGGUGGGCAGGCCCUGGGGACCACACUGCGCCCGUCAGCGGCGGCAUCCCCGGAUAACAGGAGCCGGUUCCCACCGGCCCUGAGUCCUGGAGAAAGAGGCUGGGAAAGGCUCUGGCCUGCGCCAGCCGUUUGUCUCCAAGGCCUGCAGAUAGGCCGGUUAGUCAUG